UAAAAAAUAUUUUCAAAAAAAUUUACCCUUUUUGAAACAUUGAGUGUUGUUUGAUAAAAGAAUCACCCAUACAUUUGAGGUAUCACUUUUAACGAAGAGAAAAAGUAAAUUUCCUAAUUAGAAGGGGCUUAAAAGUUUUUUGAGACAAAGAGUAAAAAGAAACAGAGGUAAAUGGGGCACCAAAAUCUUAAAUACACCUCUGGAGAUUAUAAUAAAUUUGUUUUUCGAAUACUAUAAUUUACAACUACGUGUCUCCGUACACAUUUAACAGGUUCAUUAGGUAUUAUAGUACACUGGCCUAGCACCUAGGUAUAGGUACUCAAUAGGAAAUAGGGAGGUACACUCAAAAUCUUUCAUAUAUGCAAAGUGAGUUCCAUGUUUUUUUUUCAAUUUAGUUUCUUAAGCUAUAUAUGAAUUAUGAUACUUAUAAUAUUAUAUUCUACGUUAUUCGAUUAUGUUUUCCUAUUUUGAGAAUAUAUGAUUACAGUAAUAAAAUUAUCAACAUAAUAUUAUAUUGUUUUUUUUUUUAGCCCACAGACGGAAAAAAUGUGAAGAGUUGGCUAAUUUAUCAUGUAGUUUACUUAGUACUUUGGUUUAUAAGCUUAAGUGGAAUAUUAAAAGAAAAUCAUUCUGAAAUAGGUGCUCACUUAUUUUCCAUGGCAAUUCAUGGUAUAGUUCUAAUGAUAGAGAUCAACAUUGUCCACAAGUUCAACAUAGAGUCCAAGAUUGUAGCUUAUCAUCGUAAUAGAAGUUUUGAGAUUUCAGAUGAUAUCUAAGCUAUCAGAGAAUUGAGCACCUCAAUCGACAUUUCAUCAUAUAUUAUGUUAAUUAUUUUUGGACUUUUUAUUUUUAAAAUAUACUAAAACAAAAUACAUUAUUGUAAAAUAAGGA